GACGAACGCUGGCGGCGUGCCUAAUACAUGCAAGUCGAGCGAAGCGGCGGAUGGGUGAGGAACGCGUGGGUAACCUGCCCAUAAGUCGGGGAUACCAUAUGUAAACAGAUGCUAAUACCGGCUACGAAAGGAUGGAACGGCGAUGCAUUAGAGAGUUGGGAAGGUAACGGCUUACCAAGGCUAUGAUGCAUAGCCGAGUUGAGAGACUGAUCGGCCACAUUGGGACUGAGACACGGCCCAAACUCCUACGGGAGGCAGCAGUAGGGAAUCUUCCACAAUGGACGAAAUUCUGAUGGAGCAACGCCGCGUGAGUGAAGAAGGUUUUCGGAUCGUAAAGCUCUGUUGUUGGUGAAGCGGUAAUCAACCAGAAAGUCACGGCUAACUACGUGCCAGCAGCCGCGGUAAUUC
rnacentral:rRNA from 1 species